UACGGAGGGUGCAAGCGUUAUCCGGAUUUACUGGGUUUAAAGGGUGUGUAGGCGGACUUUUAAGUCCGUGGUGAAAUCUCCGGGCUCAACCCGGAAACUGCCAUGGAUACUAUUGGUCUUGAAUGUUGUUGAGGUGGGCGGAACGGGUCAUGUAGCGGUGAAAUGCAUAGAUAUGACCCGGAACACCGAUUGCGAAGGCAGCCCACGUAAGCAAUGAUUGACGCUGAGGCACGAAAGCGUGGGGAUCAAACAGG
rnacentral:rRNA from 1 species